rnacentral:piRNA from 1 species
UGGUCUGGUAGAGAGUUCUUCCUC